rnacentral:rRNA from 1 species
CGCAAUGGGGGAAACCCUGACGGAGCGACGCCGCGUGCAGGAGGAAGGCCUUCGGGUUGUAAACUGCUUUUGUAUGUGACGAUUAUGACGGUAGCAUGCGAAUAAGGACCUGCUAACUACGUGCCAGCAGCCGCGGUCAUACGUAGGGUCCAAGCGUUAUCCGGAAUCACUGGGCGUAAAGAGUUGCGUAGGUGGCAUAGCAAGUUGGUAGUGAAAUUUUUCGGCUCAACCGAAUAACCGCUACCAAAACUGCUAAGCUAGAGCACGAGAGAGGUAACUGGAAUUUCUAGUGUAGGAGUGAAAUCCGUAGAUAUUAGAAGGAACACCGAUGGCGUAGGCAGGUUCCUGGCUCGUUGCUGCCCCUCAGGCACGAAAGCGU